rnacentral:misc_RNA from 1 species
GAUACAAGUGAACCACUUUCUUGGAGUACAGGAAAACAAUGGUCAUACACAUAUAAUACGUUCAAAAAGAAACACAUCCUAUGAUCCGAUAAAUCGGGAGGAAAAGACAUAUAUAUACAUGGAGAUGUAAUGACCUGGUUGCAUUAAAAAAUGAAAGCCACACAGACAAUCCAACAGCAAACGAGCGAGUACUCACAUGUGCUGGUAUUCGGGAUUAAAUGCAAGACCCUCCCUGUAAAUCAGCUCUUUCAUUUGUUCCUCGGUAAGGGCAUGCUGUUCAAAAUCGAAGCUAAAAGGAGUCAUGCAA